GAGCAAGGCUCCAAAGCAGAUUCUCCUUGCCGGCGCGGCCCCGUCCCCCUCCAAGUUCCGCUCACCUCCCUGACACGCCCCCCCCCCCGUCCGCGUGUGGAUGAACGUGGAGCAGAUCGGAGGACGACCGUGAUGUGGAGAUGCGGAGACUCGCCAUGGCUCCUGCCAUGAAUCCCGCCUCCAACCGCGCGCCACCGGCCGUCCCCUUCCUCCACGCGCGCCGACCAGGCCCUUCCGUCCCCGAGCCCCAUCCAGUUCACUUUCUCCCCUGCGAGCCAGCUGGUGUACGUGGGGUUGCAGGAUCCCGAGCUCACGGAUGGCACGGAUCCCGGGCUCGACCUGGUCGUCGUGCCCCGAACCCCAACGCCGCAUCGAGCCAGUGCGAUGCGAAGAGCUUGGUGGCCAUGGUCGCGCGUGUAGCCGUGGUCUACCUAGGCGGUUCUGCCCCAGAUUCCGUUGUUUUUCUAGAUCUUUUUCAGUUUGUUUUCUUGAUUCACAUGCUGCAGAAAUUUGUAAACUUGGUUGACGAUGGAAAUUUUAGGAUGUAAUUGAUACUCAAAAUCCAUGCUCCCCUCCGUGGUGUGCAGCGAGGUGGGAGGAUGCCUGCUCCGUCGGCGGCGUGCUGUGACUGAGCAGCGAGGAUGGAGGAGUCUAGCAGCGGCUCAACUGCUCCUUUUCUUAUUAUUUUUUCGGACACGCCAUGGAUUUGGUAUCUUGUUGUCUUGUUCCACUUGGGGAUCGGGAAUUUUUAGGCGAGGGAUAGUUGCUGCCGGCGCUGCAUCCCCUUCCUCUAGCAAUUGUUUGGAGGAAGGGCGGCAGAGGAGCUUUUCAUCCUUGUCGACUGCCUGAAGCAUCCCAUUUCCGGAGGAAGGGCAGACUGUCGAGUCCGUGAAUCCACCACAGCGCCAUGCUGGAGGCUGGGUGCGGCCGCACUCAACAAGCACGCGGCGGCGAUAAGGGAUGCUGGUCGCCGGAGGGAGAUGUGACAUGUGAGGCGUCAACCUUGCGAUUUUGCGACGGGACAUGUGCGGAAGGUCGCCGGGGCGUCGCCGGAUGCAGUGUCACGGUGGACACAGGCAGCGCCUACCGGUGGUAGAGGAAGGGCCGAAGGCCGGCCUAGGCGCGCGACGCCGCCAUGAUUUGGGUAUGGAGGUGCAGGUGCGGCUCAAGGAGCUCGAGAGAUGGUGUUUGCGCGCGGUGGACGGGCUCCUGCUGGAUUUUGCGGGACACAGGUCACGGUUGAUAUUUAGGAAAAAUUAUAAUUUAAUGCAUCUCUUUCAUUUUCUGAAUCCUGGAGUAGCUUUGGUCAGUUUUUUGACCUGAUGCUGAUCAAACUGAGCCAACGUUUUCUUUUCCCCAAUUUUGUUGUUGUAAUCUCUCCCACAAUUAGCAGCUUGCAGUGCAACCAUUUGAACUGAAAUCCCACUCUGUCCACAGCUCCAUUUCUUGUUGCUAUAGUGAUAUGCCAAGUCCUACUGCAUCAAACCAUCUGAGCCGUUCUAGCUUUGCUUUGUGAGC